rnacentral:lncRNA from 1 species
UUUGGCUUUGUAUUUAUAUGAAAUAUUACUGAUGAUUGCCUUAAGAAAGACGCAAGUUCCUAGGAGUCUGUAGGAGUUUACAACUGUACCAUUUGCUUUGCACAGCACUUCAAGUUAUUUUCAGUACUUAAUGAUGCAGACCCUGAGAGGUUAUAAAAUUUUUGCUGCUACUUACAGAGCUGAUUUAAUCACUGAGAUGGUAAAAACACCUGAGAUUUGUGGCAGAUAUCUGUACAGUUUGUAAAAAUUAAAAAGCUAUAUAUAUAAUAAUCUCGUAAGUUUUCUUUGUUUUGUAGGGGACGUAUUCACUGGGAGCUUUAGGAUAAUGCAUUUGUGGAGACUGGAACUGAAAAUGUUAAUACUAUUGUAAGGUUUUUUCCUCUGUGGACUGAGAAAGCAAGGCCCUUUCCAGGUCAUGCUUCAAAGAUUAAUGUUUGUGGAUGUUCUCCAAAUCAUCUGCCUUUAUGCUGGUUAUCAGAGCGUAAUCAACACUGUUUUCUUGCUGGAAUGUCCCUUGGUCUGUUUUUAGCAGGUUACAGCAGUACCAGUGGAAGGGAAUGAAUAGUCAGUUUUGAUUGUUCAUCUUUAAAAACUGCUGCUUCAGUAGCAUGCGUAAGUACAGCAGUCGAACAUGCGCGUUAAUCAGAUGCUAUGAAGCAUGUGGAGGGGAAGCCCCAAGCCAUAUUUGAAACUAUCAAGUUUCUGACUAGUUGUUGAAUGCAUGUAGAUUUAUAAGAGCCCCAUGGAGACAGUUGCCUUACUACAUAAUGCCUUAGCGAUGAUUAAAUAGAAACAAAGGAUAACUAGAAAUAGAAAAGAACAAGGAGAAACUCAGAGUAGUUCACAGCUGUAAAACACAAAAAAAUACCCAUCCUCCUAAGAUACCAUUCCUCCUUCCCAAAGCGGAAUUUUCCUGCUUUGAAGUUAUCUUGAGAAGACACAAUUUGCAAUUUGCCCAAGAGGUCAGCAGGCCCAAUCUAUUGUACUGGAGGGUAAGGAGGUGGUUUCAAAGCUGAGAGCCCCUCGGGAAGAAUGGUCUGCAAGUGUCUUACUUUCUUUUGAAUAAAGUGUGACCUCCACUGGUCGCUGUUGUAUUC